rnacentral:rRNA from 1 species
UACGUAGGGUGCAAGCGUUGUCCGGAAUUAUUGGGCGUAAAGGGCUCGUAGGCGGUCCAUCACGUCGGGAGUGAAAAGCUGGGGCUUAACCCCAGUCCUGCUUCCGAUACGGGUGGACUAGAGGUAGGCAGGGGAGAACGGAAUUCCUGGUGUAGCGGUGAAAUGCGCAGAUAUCAGGAGGAACACCAAUUGCGAAGGCAGCUCGCUGGGACGUAACUGACGCUGAGACGCGAAAGCGUGGGGAGCAAACAGG